rnacentral:rRNA from 1 species
UACAGAGGUCCCAAGCGUUGUUCGGAUUCAUUGGGCGUAAAGGGUGCGUAGGUGGCAUGGUAAGUCGGGUGUGAAAUCCCGGGGCUCAACCCCGGAACUGCACUCGAUACUGCCGUGCUCGAGUACUGGAGAGGAGACUGGAAUUUACGGUGUAGCAGUGAAAUGCGUAGAUAUCGUAAGGAAGACCGGUGGCGAAGGCUAGUCUCUGGACAGUUACUGACACUGAGGCACGAAGGCCAGGGGAGCAAACAGG